GCCCGGGUGGCGAAAUCGGUAGACGCAGCAGACUCAAAAUCUGCCGGUGGCAACACCGUGCCGGUUCGAUUCCGGCUCCGGGCACCA
rnacentral:tRNA from 2 species